rnacentral:rRNA from 1 species
GGACGAACGCUGGCGGCGUGCUUAACACAUGCAAGUGGGGCGACGAACCAGGCUUCGGCCUGGGGCAAAGCCGCGAACGGGUGAGUAACACGUGGGUAACCUGCCCCGAAGACCGGGACAACCCGGGGAAACCCGGGCUAAUACCGGAUGGGGGUCAUCGUUCAUAAGGACGAUGAGCAAAGGAAGCUUCGGCCUCCGCUUCGGGGAUGGGCCCGCGGCCCAUUAGCUUGUUGGUGAGGUAACGGCUCACCAAGGCUUCUAGGGUAGCUGGUCUGAGAGGACGAUCAGCCACACUGGGACUGAGACACGGCCCAGACUCCUACGGGAGGCAGGCAGUGGGGAAUCUUGCGCAAUGCGCGAAAGCGUGACGCAGCAACGCCGCGUGGGGAAGACGGCCUUCGGUU